UCUAAUUUGUAAAAGCGAGUAUAGAUGAAAUUGGCAAAUUCGUUAGUUUUCCAUACUAAAGGUUAAGGGUUCGAA
rnacentral:tRNA from 1 species